rnacentral:rRNA from 1 species
GACGUAGGGCGCGAGCGUUGUCCGGAUUUAUUGGGCGUAAAGAGCUCGUAGGCGGCUUGUCGCGUCGUCCGUGAAAACUUGGGGCUCAACCCCCAAGCUUGCGGUCGAUACGGGCAGGCUAGAGUUCGGUAGGGGAGACUGGAAUUCCUGGUGUAGCGGUGAAAUGCGCAGAUAUCAGGAGGAACACCGGUGGCGAAGGCGGGUCUCUGGGCCGAUACUGACGCUGAGGAGCGAAAGCGUGGGGGAGCGAACAGG